UCGAGAAUCAUUCGCAAUGGGCGAAAGCCUGACGAUGCGACGCCGUGUGAGCGAUGAAGGCCUUAGGGUCGUAAAGCUCUUUCGCUUGGGAACAAGAGAAGCUGACGAAUAAUCAGUUAAUUUGAGGGUACCAGGUAAAGAAGCACCGGCUAACUCCGUGCCAGCAGCUGCGGUAAUACGGAGGGUGCAAGCAUUAAUCGGAUUUAUUGGGCGUAAAGGGCGCGUAGGCGGUAUGAUAAGUCAGAUGUGAAAUCCCGGGGCUCAACCCCGGAACAGCAUUUGAAACUAUCAUUCUAGAGGGUAGGCGGAGAAAACGGAAUUCCACAAGUAGCGGUGAAAUGCGUAGAUAUGUGGAAGAACACCGGUGGCGAAGGCGGUUUUCUAGCUUAUUCCUGACGCUAAGGCGCGAAAGCAAGGGGAUCAAACA
rnacentral:rRNA from 1 species